AUGCUUGGGGACAGCAAGAACUGUUGCUUUCAGAGCAGGCAGGCACAGAAGAAGAAAAUCCCAAAGGAAAGAGUUGGAUCCUCACACUUGGAUAUGGCAGUUGAAGACUUUGGAUCAAACCCGAUGAUCAAUGUCAACAUCGGUACAAAGAUCCCGCCACCACCAACACCUCCAACGCUCCCAAAUGACGCGCCAAAGAAUCCGAUCAGCGACCCCAGCACCAUUUUCCAUCCAAACUCCAUUGGCUACCACAUCCAGAAAAUCCACCAAAUUAGCACCACACAUCCGAAAAAGAAGAGGUACAGAGAUAUACUGAAAAAGUAUCACACACAAAGAUGUACGUAG
rnacentral:rRNA from 1 species